rnacentral:rRNA from 1 species
AUUGAACGCUGGCGGCAUGCUUUACACAUGCAAGUCGAACGGUAACAGGCCGCAAGGUGCUGACGAGUGGCGAACGGGUGAGUAAUGCAUCGGAACGUGCCCAGUCGUGGGGGAUAACUGCUCGAAAGAGCAGCUAAUACCGCAUACGAUCUAUGGAUGAAAGCGGGGGACCGUAAGGCCUCGCGCGAUUGGAGCGGCCGAUGUCAGAUUAGGUAGUUGGUGGGGUAAAGGCUCACCAAGCCAACGAUCUGUAGCUGGUCUGAGAGGACGACCAGCCACACGGGGACUGAGACACGGCCCAGACUCCUACGGGAGGCAGCAGUGGGGAAUUUUGGACAAUGGGGCAACCCUGAUCCAGCAAUGCCGCGUGCAGGAAGAAGGCCUUCGGGUUGUAAACUGCUUUUGUACGGAACGAAACGGUCCGGGUUAAUACCCUGGGCUAAUGACGGUACCGUAAGAAUAAGCACCGGCUAACUACGUGCCAGCCGCCGCCGUAACAC